UCGUUGUAGCAAUACGAUGGAAAAUCUAGUGGCGAACGGGUGCUUAACACGUGGGCAACCUGCCGGGAAGUGGGGGAUAGCUCGCCGAAAGGCGAAUUAAUACCGCAUGUGAUUAGAGAGGACAUCCUUUCCAAAUUAAAGUCGGGGCAACCUGACGCUUCUUGUGGGGCCCGCGGCCUAUCAGCUAGUUGGUGAGGUAACGGCUCACCAAGGCUUUGACGGGUAGCUGGUCUGAGAGGACGACCAGCCACACUGGGACUGAGACACGGCCCAGACACCUACGGGUGGCAGCAGUCGAGAAUUUUUGACAAUGGGGGAAACCCUGAUCGAGCGACGCCGCGUGGAGGAUGAAGGUCUUCGGAUUGUAAACUCCUGUCAUUGGGGAACAAGGUGCAUACGUUAACUGCGUGUGCAUUGAUAGUACCCGAAGAGGAAGAGACGGCUAACUCUGUGCCAGCAGCCGCGGUAAUACAGAGGUCUCAAGCGUUGUUCGGAUUCAUUGGGCGUAAAGGGUGCGUAGGCGGCGCGGUAAGUCGGGUGUGAAAUCUCGGAGCUUAACUCCGAAACUGCAUUCGAUACUGCCGUGCUUGAGGACUGGAGAGGAGACUGGAAUUCACGGUGUAGCA
rnacentral:rRNA from 1 species